CUACGUGCCAGCAGCCGCGGUAAUACGGAAGGUCCUGGUGUUAUCCGGAUUUAUUGGGUUUAAAGGGAGCGUAGGCCGCAGAUUAAGUGUGUUGUGAAAUUCAGGCGCCCAACGUCUGACUUGCAGCGCAAACUGGUCUGCUUGAGUUCGCGCAACGCAGGCGGAAUUCGUCGUGUAGCGGUGAAAUGCUUAGAUAUGACGAAGAACUCCGAUUGCGAAGGCAGCUUGCGGGAGCGUUACUGACGCUGAAGCUCGAAAGUGCGGGUAUCGAACAGGAUUAGAUACCCUGGUAGUCCGCACGGUAAACGAUGGAUGCCCGUUUUUAGCUUUUAAAGUCAGAGACCAAGCGAAAGCAUUAAGCAUCCCACCUGGGGAGUACGCCGGCAACGGUGAAACUCAAAGGAAUUGACGGGGGCCCGCACAAGCGGAGGAACAUGUGGUUUAAUUCGAUGAUACGCGAGGAACCUUACCCGGGCUUGAA
rnacentral:rRNA from 1 species